rnacentral:misc_RNA from 1 species
GGAGUUGCAACAAACAAAAUUAAUCUACUGAUACAAGCUUAACUUAUAGUACAGUUCAAACACAGAAGAAAUAUUGGUUGGCAGCAGAAAACACAAGGGAAACAAAAUAAGAAAUUAUGGCCCCGAAAACAUAAAGAAUUGAAUUUCCAAAACAUACAACUCAACAUCUAUGCACGGAGCCAUGAAAAAAAAAUGAAAGUGAAUAAUGGUAAUAAGCCUGAAGCCUCCCAAAACAACUCAACUAUAUUUCAUAUUCUGCACAUGAGAAGAAGUUCAGUCCCAUAGUUAUCACCAAAAAGCACUACACUUGAACCUCAAACAGCAUGAAUGGAAAAGUUGUUAUUAAAAUUAUCAAAUAUUUAAAGAGAACACUGUAGCCUCUUUAACUUAAUUUUGCUUCAGCUAACAGUUAAAAGAGAACCUUAUUCAGGGUUAUUUAAGAUGCUUCCAUG